rnacentral:rRNA from 1 species
AUUGAACGCUGGCGGCCGGCCUAACACAUGCAAGUCGAGCGAGCGGCGGACGGGUGAGUAAUGUAUGGGGACUGCCCGAUAGAGGGGGAUAACUACUGGAAACGGUAGCUAAUACCGCAUACUAUCGGAUAACCCAUAUGGGAUUAGCUAGUAGGUGAGGUAAUGGCUCACCUAGGCGACGAUCCCUAGCUGGUCUGAGAGGAUGAUCAGCCAAACUGGGACGGAGACACGGUCCAGAGUCCUACGGAGGCAGCAGUGGGGAAUAUUGCACAAGGGGCGCAAGCCUGAUGCAGCCAUGACGCGUGUAGGAAGAAGGACCUAGGGUUGUAAAGUACUUUCAGUGGGGAGGCGUUACCGACAGAAGAAGAACCGGCUAACUCCGUGCCAGCAGCCGCGGUAAUAC